CGUAGGGACCAAGCGUUGUUCGGAUUUACUGGGCGUAAAGGGCGCGUAGGCGGCAAUUCAAGUCAUCUGUGAAAUCUCCGGGCUUAACCCGGAACGGUCAGAUGAUACUGCUUUGCUAGAGUGCGGAAGGGGCAAUCGGAAUUCUUGGUGUAGCGGUGAAAUGCGUAGAUAUCAAGAGGAACACCUGAGGUGAAGACGGGUUGCUGGGCCGACACUGACGCUGAUAGCGCGAAAGCCAGGGGAGCAAACGGGAUUAGAUACCCCGGUAGUCCUGGCCCUAAACGAUGAAUACUUGGUGUCUGGAGUUAUUAGUGCUCCGGGUGCCGUCGCUAACGUUUUUAGUAUUCCGCCUGGGGAGUACGCUCGCAAGAGUG
rnacentral:rRNA from 1 species